AGAAGACACUCAGUAGAUUCAGUAAAGAUGUUGAAGGGAUAACAACUGAAGAGAAGAAAAAAUCAGAUACAGGAAAGAAGGGAUUGAAGCAGGAGAAAAGAAAGUCAGAGGACUCAGACAGACCUUCAAAAAAGAGUUGUAAAUAUGGUGCCCAGUGCUACAAUAAUAACGAGGCUCAUCAGCUUUUCUAUGAACAUCCUUCUUCACUUCAUAUUGAACCUCCCACUGUAAAUCCACUUCCAGAUAUAUUCAUUGGUAUUCAAGUCAGUAUACCAAACAACACAGAGAAAAUUGAUGAGCUGAAAA